rnacentral:rRNA from 1 species
CUCUGUGACUCCUACGGGAGGCAGCAGUGGGGAAUAUUGCACAAUGGGGGAAACCCUGAUGCAGCCAUGCCGCGUGUGUGAAGAAGGCCUUCGGGUUGUUAAAGCACUUUCAGUAGGGAGGAAGGUAGUGUAGUUAACACCUGCAUUAUUUGACGUUACCUACAGAAGAAGCACCGGCUAACUCCGUGCCAGCAGCCGCGGUAAUACGGAGGGUGCGAGCGUUAAUCGGAAUUACUGGGCGUAAAGCGCAUGCAGGCGGCCUGUUAAGUCAGAUGUGAAAGCCCGGGGCUUAACCUCGGAAUUGCAUUUGAAACUGGCAGGCUAGAGUCUUGUAGAGGGGGUAGAAUUUCAGGUGUAGCGGUGAAAUGCGUAGAGAUCUGAAGGAAUACCAGUGGCGAAGGCGGCCCCCUGGACAAAGACUGACGCUCAGAUGCGAAAGCGUGGGGAGCAAACAGGAUUAGAUACCCUGGUAG